rnacentral:tRNA from 1 species
GCUCCGAUGGUGUAGCUGGCAAACAUAGGGGGCUUUCGACCCCCUGCCCCGGAUUCAAGUUCCGGUCGGAGCA